AUUGAACGCUGGCGGCAUGCGUUACACGUGCAAGUCGAACGGUAACAGGGAGCUUGCUCCGCUGACGAGUGGCGAACGGGUGAGUAAUGCGUCGGAACGUGCCGAGUAGUGGGGGAUAACGCAUCGAAAGGUGUGCUAAUACCGCAUACGUACUGAGGUAGAAAGUGGGGGACCUUCGGGCCUCACGCUAUUCGAGCGGCCGACGUCUGAUUAGCUAGUUGGUGAGGUAAAGGCUCACCAAGGCGACGAUCAGUAGAGGGUCUGAGAGGAUGAUCCGCCACACUGGGACUGAGACACGGCUCAGACUCCUACGGGAGGCAGCAGUGGGGAAUUUUGGACAAUGGGCGCAAGCCUGAUCCAGCCAUGCCGCGUGUCUGAAGAAGGCCUUCGGGUUGUAAAGGACUUUUGUCCGGGAGCAAAUGCUGGUGGCUAACAUCCACCGGAGCUGAGAGUACCGGAAGAAUAAGCACCGGCUAACUACGUGCCAGCCGCCGCCGUAAGAC
rnacentral:rRNA from 1 species